CUAGUGGUUGUGUUCUGAGGGAGAAAAACUAAUCUUUUCUCUUUCCACUGCAUUCUAGGAACAGUAAGAGGACCUUGUGAGUGAAUAAUUUGUUUCCACAUUACAGAGUGGGUAAUAAGCAGAUUAGUAAAAACAAUUCUGCUUCACUUCAAUAACAGCCUCCUCCAACUCAUUUUUUCUCAACAAACUUAUUUUUCCAGCAGAAGAAUCCCAGACUUCUUAGAGAACCCAGUGACUUUUUGCACCUUAAAUCUGUGAAAUCCUCAUGUUUUCUUCUGCUGUA
rnacentral:lncRNA from 1 species